rnacentral:rRNA from 1 species
GACGAACGCUGGCGGCGUGCUUAACACAUGCAAGUCGAACGGAAAGGCCCCUUUGUGGGUACUCUAGUGGCGAACGGGUGAGUAACACGUAAGUAACCUGCCCUUGACUUCGAGAUAACUUCAGGAAACUGGGGCUAAUACUGGUUAGGAAUCAUUGCUUCAUGGGGGUGGUUGGAAAGCUUCGGCGGUUUUUGGUGUGCUCGAUGCAUAUCUGCUUGUUGGUGGGGUAGUGGCUUACCGAGGCGUUGACGGGUAGCCGGACUGAGAGGGCGACCGGCCACAUUGAGACUGAGAGACGGCACAGACUCCUACGGGAGGCCGAUGUGGGGAAUAUUGCACAAUGGGCGGAAGCCUGAUGAAGAAAGGCCGCGUGCGGGAUGACGGCGUUCGGGUUGAAAACCGAUUUCAGAAGGGGCGAAGCUUGUGGUGACGGUACCUGCAGAAGAAGCACCGGCUAACUACGUG